rnacentral:lncRNA from 1 species
GAUAUAUAAUGCAAUGUAUUAUAUAUUUAUAAUCCCAACACUUGAGAGGUGGAGGCAGGAAAAUGGCAAAUUUGAAGUCAACAUGAAUUAUAUAGCAAGAUUCUGUCUCAAAAAAGUCAACCAAAUUUUUAACAAUUAAGGAGGAUAUAGAGAGCAGUAAAGAGAAUCCAAGUAUGAAAACAAGGGAAAAUCCCCAACAAAACAUGAAUCAACUUCACCUCCCUGCUUGCCUUCCUAGCAUCUCCCCACCUUGCCUGAAAUAUGGCCUUUCUCCUUCACUAAGCAUCUUCAAGCCACAAGGAUCUUGCUCAUCAGACUUUCCCGUGCUGUUUCCUUCUAAGCUUUAAUGUGCAUUUAAAUAACCCAGAGGCCUUGGUCAAAUGCCAGGUGUGACUCAGUAAGUCUGGAGCAUGGCCUGAGAUUCUGGUUUUCACAAGCUUCCUGGUGAUGCGCUCUCUCUCUCUCUCUCUCUCUCUCUCUCUCUCUCUCUCUCUCUCUCUCUCUCUCUCACACACACACACACACACACACACACACACACACACACACACAUACAUACACACACACCCCAAUGUCAGUCAAGCAGCAAAUCCUGUCAAGAGAGUCCAGAGUUGCCAGCUCCUUAUUACCAAUUGUUUGAGAAAGGACAUCAAAGGUGAAGCCAUUUGCUAAGACGAUUUCAUCUAGUUCAUGAACCAAAAUUAUAUACACGCUGAAUGUUACAGAAGUGUUGAAAGACUGGUAGGUAACAUAAUAUUUUUUUAAUAUUUUAAUUAAUUAAUUAAUUAUUAUGUAUACAACAUUCUAUUUCCAUGUAUAUCUGCACACUAGAAGAGGGCACCAGAUCUCAUAACGGAUGGUUGUGAGCCACCAUGUGGUUUCUGAGAAUUGAACUUAGGACCUUUAGAAGAGCAGCCAGUGCUUUUAACCUCUGAGCCAUCUCUCCAGCCCUGGUAACAUAAUAUUAACAGAAGACUUGGUUCAAGGUAAAAUUUUGGAGCUAUAUAGUUAUAGUAAGCAAUUAGAUUCUCUGUAGGAAAAGUGUAUAUGUAGAUUGUGUAGUUAAUAUUUUUAUAGCUAUAAGCAUGUGUAUCCUGUAAAAAACAUGCAUGGUAAUGCUAAAUACCAUCUAGUGUGAGUUUAUCUUUCUUUUGCUGUAAACCUUGGUUUCUUUAUAUACACAUAUGCAUGUUCACAAAAUCACCUGAACAUCAUGAAUGCUAACACUACUGAUUCUGGGUGUUGGCUAUAAUUUCAUGUUCUAUACAUUUUUAAAAUAUUUGUAUGUAGUCUGUGUGUGUAUUUUUUGUGUAUGUGC